GGAGGAGUGCCAGAGUGGUUGAUUGGGGCGGUCUCGAAAACCGCUGUCUCCUUACGGGGACCGAGGGUUCGAAUCCCUCCUCCUCCU
rnacentral:tRNA from 1 species